GUGCUCACUGCGGCAGCACACAAACUAAAAUUGGAACGACACAGAGAAGGUUAGCAUGGUCCCUGCGGAGGAUGACAUGCAAAUUCGUGAAGGGUUCCUCAUUUAA
ensembl:snRNA U6 U6 spliceosomal RNA